AUCAGUAUCAGCAGAUUGGUGGUUGCCUGAGAUGCAUCUGACAGUAUUUUAACUGUCAGACAUUUAAAGUUUCUAGGACAUCAUCUGGAUAUGGAAGUGCAGGAAUUUUGAGGCUAUUCUUAGGAACCCUGAAGCCAUGAAUAGUGUCAUCGAAGCAUUUAAUAAAGAAGAGGCAGCUAUCAGUGGAUUUCACCUUGUAAAGAAAUCAGUAAGACAACAUUCAUUCAUGCAUACAUAAUAUUUAAAGUAUUAAUGUGGCUUAAUAACAUCCAAUUGAACAAUUUAAAACACUAAUAAAAAUUGUGGAAAAUACUGAUACAUUAGGUAUA